AUGUCAGCUAGAGCCAUAGAGAGCGGGGAAGGCCAUGCCUUGGGCUCCCUCCUGCUAGAAUUGCUGCAGGAAGGUGAGUGCCCUUGUGGAAGCUCGCGAGGGUGGGUGGCCCAGACUUGGGGUUCCUGGGCGGGCAGCGGGGGUCUGGGUUCUGGCCUGGGGCUGCCACCAGGUGCCCUGGGCCCAUCAAUCCUCUUCCCCCUGGGCCUCAGCCUCCUGCUCUGUGCAGGCAGGACCUCCAGCUCUCCACUGGUGCUGGGCCUUCCUCUCUCUGUCGUCUCCUUGGUUCACCUCCAAGCACCCUUGACACCUCUCAGCUCAGCUUCCCCUGAGGUGCCCUCCCUACAUCAGAGAUCCGGGGGGCUUCAGGAAAGGGUGGAGGGGGCUGUGUGGGGUCUCUCUUCUCCCAGCUGCCCGCACCGCUGUGCGCUCCCCCAUUAUUUCUUUCUUCCAGAGGAAGAAGAACCUUCCGAGUCAAGCAACCAGACCUCCUAUGGCUCUUCUCCUGGGAAGCCACCAAAGGGACCACAUCAGGGACGAGAUGACUUUGGUUCUGACCCCAGAGAUCCACCCAAUUUCUACCAUUAUGCAGGCAUGACGGCAGCUGCUGUGAUUGGAGGAGUCGUGGCCGUGAGGGCUGUGCCUGAGUUGCUGGACACCGUGGGCUUCACCAGAACAGGAAUCUCCCGCUCCUCCUUAGCAGCCAAGAUGAUGUCAUCAACUGCCAGAGCCAAUGGGGGCGGAGUUCCCUCUGGCAGCCUAGUCUCCAACCUCCAGUCCAAGGGUUUGGUGCUUGUCUGUUUUGGUGCCAUGGAAUUCACCAAGGUUGCCCUCUUAGCCUCUAACCUGGCUUCCAAGAUACUGUCUGCAGGGAGCCUGGCCAAAGUGGGCGGGGCGGCCUCCAGCAGCAUCUUGGCAGGACUUCCUUCACUGGCCAAGGGCUGCUGCAGUUGUGGUGGGCGGAGCUUCCACCGUGGUGGCUGUGCCCGUGGUGCUGGGCGCAGUCGGCUUCACCAGUACAGGAAUCACCGCCUCCUCCUUAGCAGCCAAGAUGAUGUCAAUAUCUGCCAUUGCCAAUGGGGGCGGAGUUGCCGCUGGCAGCCUGGUGGCCACUCUCCAGUCCGUGGGAGCAAGCGGACUCUCCCUGUCAUCCAAACUCCUGGUGAGCUUCGCUGGGUCCACCCUCGUGUCCAAACUGGUGGGCCUGUAACAUCCCCUGUAGCUCCCUCGGCAGAGAAGAGGACCAGGUGGGGCCCUGCCACCAGCCUGAUGCAGUGAGGGACCCAGUCCUGGGGUGACAAGUGCCAAACGCUGCACCCCCAGAGGAAAAUGAGAAAUAAA
rnacentral:lncRNA from 1 species